AUUGAACGCUGGCGGCGUGCUUUACACAUGCAAGUCGAGCGAUGAAGCUCCUUCGGGAGUGGAUUAGCGGCGGACGGGUGAGUAACACGUGGGCAACCUGCCUUGUAGAGCGGAAUAGCCAUCCGAAAGGAUGAUUAAUACCUCAUAAUAUUGUAGCUUCGCAUGGAGCAACAAUCAAAGGAGCAAUCCACGAUAAGAUGGGCCCGCGGCGCAUUAGCUAGUUGGUGAGGUAACGGCUCACAAAGGCGACGAUGCGUAGCCGACCUGAGAGGGUGAUCGGCCACAUUGGGACUGAGACACGGCCCAGACUCCUACGGGAGGCAGCAGUGGGGAAUAUUGCACAAUGGGGGAAACCCUGAUGCAGCAACGCCGCGUGAGUGAUGACGGCCUUCGGGUUGUAAAGCUCUGUCUUCAGGGACGAUAAUGACGGUACCUGAGGAGGAAGCCACGGCUAACUACGUGCCAGCCGCCGCAGUAA
rnacentral:rRNA from 1 species